rnacentral:rRNA from 1 species
UGGGGAAUUUUGGACGAAUUGGGGGCAACCGUGAUCCAGCAAUGCCGCGUGUGUGAAGAAGGCCUUCGGGUUGUAAAGCACUUUUGUCCGGAAAGAAAACGCCGUGGUUAAUACCCGUGGCGGAUGACGGUACCGGAAGAAUAAGCACCGGCUAACUACGUGCCAGCAGCCGCGGUAAUACGUAGGGUGCAAGCGUUAAUCGGAAUUACUGGGCGUAAAGCGUGCGCAGGCGGUCCGCUAAGACAGAUGUGAAAUCCCCGGGCUUAACCUGGGAACUGCAUUUGUGACUGGCGGGCUAGAGUAUGGCAGAGGGGGGUAGAAUUCCACGUGUAGCAGUGAAAUGCGUAGAGAUGUGGAGGAAUACCGAUGGCGAAGGCAGCCCCCUGGGCCAAUACUGACGCUCAUGCACGAAAGCGUGGGGGAGCAAACAGGAUUAGAUACCCUGGUAUCCA